GUAGGUGGCAAGCGUUAUCCGGAUUUAUUGGGCGUAAAGCGAACGCAGGCGGGAGAAUAAGUCAGCUGUGAAAGCCCUCAGCUUAACUGGGGAACUGCAGCUGAAACUAUUUUUCUUGAGUGCAGAAGAGGAGAGUGGAACUCCAUGUGUAGCGGUGGAAUGCGUAGAUAUAUGGAAGAACACCAGUGGCGAAGGCGGCUCUCUGGUCUGUAACUGACGCUGAGGUUCGAAAGCAUGGGUAGCGAACAGGAUUAGAUACCCUAGUAGUCCAUGCCGUAAACGAUGAGUGCUAAGUGUUGGGAGGUUUCCGCCUCUCAGUGCUGCAGCUAACGCAUUAAGCACUCCGCCUGGGGAGUACGACCGCAAGGUUA
rnacentral:rRNA from 1 species